rnacentral:rRNA from 1 species
GACGAACGCUGGCGGCGUGCCUAAUACAUGCAAGUCGAGCGAUGAAGGAGAUACUUGUAUCUUUUGAAGAGCGGCGAACGGGUGAGUAACGCGUGGGGAAUCUGCCAAUGAGUGGGGGACAACAUUUGGAAACGAAUGCUAAUACCGCAUAAAAUCUAUUGAGACAUCUCAAGAGAUUGAAAGGAACAAUUGUUUCGCUCGUUGAUGAUCCCGCGUUGUGUUAGCUAGUUGGUGAGGUAAGGGCUCACCAAGGCGAUGAUACAUAGCCGAGCUGAGAGGGUGAUCGGCCACAUUGGGACUGAGACACGGCCCAAACUCCUACGGGAGGCAGCAGUAGGGAAUCUUCGGCAAUGGACGAAAGUCUGACCGAGCAACGCCGCGUGAGUGAAGAAGGUUUUCGGAUCGUAAAGCUCUGUUGUUGUUAAAGAACGUUGAUGAGAGUGGAAAGUUCAUCAAGUGACGGUAAACAACCAGAAAGGGACGGCUAACUACGUGCCAGCCGCCGCCGUAA